GAUGAACGCUGGCGGCGUGCCUAAUACAUGCAAGUCGAGCGAACAGACGAGGAGCUUGCUCCUCUGACGUUAGCGGCGGACGGGUGAGUAACACGUGGAUAACCUACCUAUGAGACUGGGAUAACUUCGGGAAACCGGAGCUAAUACCGGAUAAUAUAUUGAACCGCAUGGUUCAAUAGUGAAAGACGGUUUUGCUGUCACUUAUAGAUGGAUCCGCGCCGCAUUAGCUAGUUGGUAAGGUAACGGCUUACCAAGGCAACGAUGCGUAGCCGACCUGAGAGGGUGAUCGGCCACACUGGAACUGAGACAAGGUCCAGACUCCUACGGGAGGCAGCAGUAGGGAAUCUUCCGCAAUGGGCGAAAGCCUGACGGAGCAACGCCGCGUGAGUGAUGAAGGUCUUCGGAUCGUAAAACUCUGUUAUUAGGGAAGAACAAAUGUGUAAGUAACUAUGCACGUCUUGACGGUACCUAAUCAGAAAGCCACGGCUAACUACGUG
rnacentral:rRNA from 1 species